rnacentral:lncRNA from 1 species
CCGUUUCACCAAAGUCUCUGCUUCCUCAUCAAGAACGACGUCCUGACAGCGGCAAACUGAAGGAAUUCCAAGGAAACAGAGUGAUCAUCCUCAGACUCACUAUAAGAUAUGGUCAGAGUGCUGACUUCAGGCAGUCCUCCCAGUGGGCCAACCCAGGAGUGCAAUCAACGAUGAUUUCUGAGCAGCUUUUUGCAAAAACAAAUUCUGUCAGAAUAACUUUCAGGGUAAGUUCAGGAAGCAAAAUGCUUUUGAACUAAUAGGUACAUGCAAUAAAAAAGAAAAAAAACAGCGCUGUGUUUUUCCC